rnacentral:rRNA from 1 species
ACGAACGCUGGCGGCGUGCUUAACACAUGCAAGUCGAACGGAAAGGCCCCUUUGGGGGUACUCGAGUGGCGAACGGAUGAGUAACACGUGAGUAACCUGCCCUUGACUUCGGGAUAACUUCAGGAAACUGGGGCUAAUACCGGAUAGGAAUCCUUGCUGCAUGGUGGGGGUUGGAAAGCUUCGGGGGUUUUGGAUGGACUCGCGGCUUAUCAGCUUGUUGGUGGGGUAGUGGCUUACCAAGGCUUUGACGGGUAGCCGGCCUGAGAGGGCGACCGGCCACAUUGGGACUGAGAUACGGCCCAGACUCCUACGGGAGGCAGCAGGGGGGAAAAUUGCACAAUGGGCGGAAGCCUGAUGCAGCAACGCCGCGUGCGGGAUGACGGCCUUCGGGUUGUAAACCGCUUUCAGCAGGGGCGAAGCUUGUGGUGACGGUACCUGCAGAAGAAGCACCGGCUAACUACGUG